GUUAGGAAUAUUGGACAAUGGGCGAAAGCCUGAUCCAGCCAUGCCGCGUGAACGAUGAAGGCCUUCGGGUUGUAAAGUUCUUUAGCCGAUGAUUAUAAUGACUGUAGUCGGAAAAUAAGCCCCGGCUAACUUCGUGCCAGCAGCCGCGGUAAUACGAAGGGGGCGAGCGUUAUUCGGAAUCACUGGGCGUAAAGCGUGCGUAGGCGGUUUUGUAAGUUAGGAGUGAAAGCCCAGGGCUCAACCUUGGAAUUGCUCUUAAAACUGGAAGGCUCGAAUCUCGGAGAGGAUAGCGGAAUUUCCAGUGUAGCAGUGAAAUGCUUAGAUAUUGGAAGGAACACCAGUGGCGUAAGCGGCUAUCUGGACGAGUAUUGACGCUGAGGCACGAAAGCGUGGGGAUCAAACAGGAUUAGAAACCCGGGUAGUCC
rnacentral:rRNA from 1 species